UUUUUUUUUUCUUUUAAAAUUUUCCAUUUUAAGUUGGUAAUUUCUGAUUUAUAUUUAAAAGCAAAUAAUAAUGAUAUGGUAGGAGAUACACACCAAACAGGAUGUGUAAAUUAUUAUAUAAUAAGUAUUGUGCAAUAGCAAGAAAUUUUCAAUUCCACAGUAUUGCACAAUAGCAAGAAAUCUUCAAUUGCACAGUAUUGCGCAAUAGCAAGAAAUCUUCAAUUGCACAGUAUUGCGCAAUAGCAAGAAAUAUCCAAUAGUACAAUAUUGCGCAAUAGCAAGAAAUUGUCAAUUGUACAGUAUUGCGCAAUAGCAAGAAAUAUUCAAUUGCACAGUAUUGUGCAAAAGAAGAUACUUCGUAUAAAUUGCUUAUUUCUUGAUCAAUUUCAAUGGGGUUUUAUUCUUGAAUUCUUGGGGUUCUUUAAUAUGCUGAAUCUUACCGUGUAUUAAGUUUUUGGAUUUUGGGCCCCGUUUUUAAAUUGGUCCACAUUGAGGUCCAAAGGGUCCAAAAUUUAACUUUGUUUGAUUUCAUCAAAAAUUGAAUUAUUGGGGUUCUUUGAUAUGCCGAAUCUAACCGUGUAUUUAGAUUCUUAAUUUUUGGUUCUGUUUUCAAAUUGGUCUACAUUAAGGUCCAAAGGGUCCAAAAUUAAACUUAGUUUGAUUUUAACAAAAAUUGAAUUUUUAGGGUUCUUUGAUAUGCUGAAUCUAAACAUGUAUUUAGAUUUUUGAUUAUGGGCCCAGUUUUCAAGUUGGUCCAAAUCGGGGUCCCAAAUUAAACUUUGUUUGAUUUCAACAAAAAUUGAAUAUAUGGGGUUCUUUGAUGUGCUGAAUCUAA